rnacentral:precursor_RNA from 15 species
GUCUAUAUGAAAUAAAUUUUAUAUGACAUAAUUCGUACGUUACACUGAACAGAUUUGUGUACGAAUGCUCUGUUCAGUGCGAUGUGUGAAUCAUGUAUGUAAAAAGAGGCAGCGAAGAUGAAU